rnacentral:rRNA from 1 species
UCUUCUUGUAGUUUGAUGAUCCGGCAAUGACGCACAGUGACAAGUCUUAUAUUAAUAUUAUGGUUAGGGUUGAGUAUCUCUUACCAUUUUUUUAUUUUUUAUAGGAUUGUAUUAUGAUUGAAUGAAGCUUUGUUUAUAUAUUGAUAAUGACAGUAUAUAUAUCGUGUCUUGACUAAUUACGUGCCAGCAGUCGCGGUAAUACGUAAGAGACUAGUGUUAUUCAUCUUAAUUAGGUUUAAAGGGUACCCAAACGGUCAAAAUAGCUUCUAGAAUGUUACUAUUUGACUAGAGUUUUAUAUAARAGGGCAGUACUUGAGGAGGAGAGAUGAAAUUCCGUGAUACCAAAGGGACUCUGUAAAUGCGAAGGCAGCACUUUAGGUAAAAACUGACGUUGAAGGACGAAGGCACAGAGACCAAACAGGAUUAGAUACCCAAGUAGUCUUUGCAGUAAAUGAUGAAUGCCAUAGGUCAGACCCGAGGUUUGGUCUAUAAAUGAAAGUGUAAGCAUUUCACCUCAAGAGUAAUGUGGCAACGCAGGAACUGAAAUCGAUGAGCAUGAGACAAGAGAGGAAUCAGUGUUCC